rnacentral:lncRNA from 1 species
AAUCAAUCACAGUUGGACAAGAUAAUCAUUCAAAUGGAUUCUCUUAUUUUGGAGAGAAUAUUAACAGGAAUAUAAAAAUAUCCAUGGAGCAUUGCAAACAUAGUGAAGGAUAUUGAGCAAUACAUGCAAGGCAAGAAAGUCAAGUAUCAACACAUUUACAGGGAAGAAAAUCAGUUAGCUGAUUAUCUUCCAAAUGUAGCCAUUGAUACAGGAGAGGUCAUCAUUACUAGUUUACAACAACUAUAACAGAAAGAAAAAGCCAUACUUAAAAGUGAUAAAUGGUGGUUCCCCUACUUGAGAAUUACAUCCAUAUGCAGUUAAAGGGCAAAGGAAGUCUUAGGCAGCAAAGUUUACAUGCAUCAUAUUUACAGGAAAUAAAAAUAGAAAAAGGAGAGCAUGUAGCUAGCCUAGUCUAUUACAGCCAACAAAUGGACUCUCAGCAUCAUGGGAGGAUCUAUGGAUCGAUUUGAGCUUCUUAAAUCUGACACCAAUAUCUUCGUGGGUCCAAGCAUCCUCUAUAUUCCUCCUUCCCAGAUCCAAACAUCAUAGGAUAAAAAGAGUAAGCUUCAGUGUCAGAGUGAAGAUCCGAGCUCAAAAAUGGAUAAAGGAAUAUUUACUUGAAGGUAGCAGCUUUGCAUAGUUGAUUAGAUCUCUCAGAGCUAAUAAAAAAGCUGGUCAAGGUCCCAUUCAGCGGAGAACUCAGCUAUUGAAGGUGUUUCAAUAGUAGGAGAAUAAUAAGAAGCAAAUUCAUCAAUAUAAAGGAAAUUCUACUUACUUUUGUAAGCUGAAUAAGCAAGUAGCACUUGAAGAAGAUGACACCUGUUUGAUGAUCCAAAAAAGAAGAAGGCAGAGCUCAAGGUUGAAGAAAGGCAGAUCCAUUUUAAGAGGAGGCGUGAAGUUAAUAGAGAUUAGGAAAAUGGGUGAUUUUGGAAACCCUACUGCCUUUUUGGGUCUUAAGAAAAUCCGGGUUGGACCGGGUCUUUCAAAUAGUAGUGGGCUUUUAAUUGUAAAAUGGGUUGGUCCGUUAAUUCUUGAAUAAUUUUUAAUAAAAUACCAAAUUAAACAAAAAAAAACUUUUAAUAUAGUAUAGAUUAGAGAUUGGAGAUAUAGAUUAUUAUUAUUAUUAUUACUACUACUACUAUUAUUAUUAUUAUUACUAUUACUAUUAUUGUCAUACCCCUUUUUAACUCCAAAAAGAUAUUAUUUUAAAGUUCGAAAGGGUUUUUAUUAUCAAAGUGACAAAAGAUAAAAAUUUAUUUCGAAAAGGACCUUUUAUAUUAAAAACUCAGAGGCGCCACUUGGCAUAAUCCGGUGUGCCAAAUCACCUUUGGAAAAUCCUUUUCAAAAUGAUUUGACUCUUUAAAACUGGUUUGCGAACAGAGAUUCCGGCUAAGAAUUUUGUUGAUCGACGGGAAGAUUUUAGGCACCCCUCGAUACCGUGGUUCGACCACGGUCACUGCGUAUCGGCUAAUUUGACACCAUGAAUGUAUAAAACCACACAAAAGCACGCAAAACAAUCAAUCAAGCAAACAAAAUGAAAAUAAUCCAAAAUUUGGUGUCCAGUCCAAUUUAUUACAUGCCGAAAUAGAAAAUACUGAAAUAAACCUACACUAACUUAUACUAGUCCUAAACUAUACUCUACCCGAUACCUCGGGCCUUCAUGACAGACAUCCUCCAUGUACAAAAUACCUCGAGGCAUUCCCCGGCGAAUAAACACAAAUAACUCGGGGUAUUCCCCGGCCAAAUGAAUACACUUUUAAUGCCGGAAGACCACAACCAUUCAACAAUAUUUCAAACAUUCCAAUAUUUAUAAUCCAUAAAUUUUCCUAUCACCCCUAUCGUUUGCCUUUCGAUUUGACGGCCUAAUCAUGAUACUAUCAAGUUCAAUGACAUCAAUGAAUCAAAAUUAGUCCGUAUUCAUUUUUUUGCUUUUCAAAUUCCGCCCUACUUUAAUUCUUGAUCAAUUAACCAAUUCCAAUACAGAAUCAUCCAAUCAAAACUACGACAAUCAUAGACGUUCAAAUAUACUAUCAAAAAUUAUAUCAUCAAUCAACAUGAAGCAAGCAACUCACAACAUCACCUCACCAAAUUAUGUAAAACAAAGAGAAGGAUCUGAAGAAUCGGACCUUAGAAGAAGCUUUAAAAAUUGAUGUAUUAUUCCAAGAAAAACUUGGUAUAAUCCGUGUCGAGAACCUUAAUUCAGACCUCAAUCACGAACUUGCCAACUCGAUCAAAACUGCAAAACAGCAGAGAAAACCAUAAAAAAAAUCCAAAUCUCAAUUUUUAAACCAAGCUUGAAACGAGUCACACCAGGUUUGCUAUUUUUGGUGAAGUUUGAACUCCCUGGAGCUCCGUUGGAUCUCGGCAGUUAGCGAAAUAAUGUUUUCCCAGUGAGAUUUUGCCAGAAAACUAGAAACGAAAGAGAAUUCAAAGAUUUUGAGGGUGCGGAUGGUCUAAUUCCGGUAAGGGAAUACCAAUUCCGGUGAGAAACUCGCCGGAAAAACCAAACCAGCCGUCCUUGAUUUGAAGGUAAUAUGUUUCCUAUUUUAUCAAAGAAAACUUGUGAGUUAAAAAACAUGGUGGAUGGCUUGUGUCUUUAGCUUUCGCGACAAUCGCUCUUGCCCCAGUCACAUUUAACCUUGCUUCCAACUAUUAGCAUAUGUCAUUGACUUGUUGCAUCAGUGAUCCAAAUUCAUAUUAGGAAGAGUGACUCUGCCACAAACACAGUAUCUCUGCUUUGCCAUGUUUCUCAGUUAAACCCUUUGAACAAUGGUAUUUCUGUGGGUUCCCAGACUUGUCUGUUGACAAAACUCUCUACAUGUCCUUUUUUUUUCAGCUCACAAUCAUGUCUCUUUCUUGCGCUGGCCUUUUUGUCUUGCUUUGUACAAUUGAAGAAGUUGGUAGCCAAUUUUAAAAUCUUUUUUCACUUGUUUCGACAUGGACUAGACUCAAAGACAAGAGCAAAAAUGACCAUGAUUUUUUAUUUGGAUAACUGACUCAAGAAAAAUAAAAUAAAAAUAAAAUAAAGAGAAGAAAGAAAAGACAAUGAAUGUCCCCAUUAAAAAAAAAUAAUGAAAAAUGUAUCUAAAAAUGAGAGUUAACUCUAAUGAUUAUGCCAUGCAUUUUGGAUUAAGCUGCCUGAUCUUUCAUCCAAACCUUCUACUAAUUGUUAUUGAGUUAAUGACCUUGAAACUGAAUUGCUUCCUUGGGCCAAUUUGCAUUCAAAAAUCUCAUUUGGCUAGUGGCACCUUGAAGGGUUUUCGCCAACAAGCCUCUCUCAUCUUCUUUUCCUCAACUCACCAUAGUCUUAUGGUGUCUGUAAGAGUUUUCACCAACGAGACUCUCUUAUCUUCAUUUCUCUCAACUCACAGUCGUCUUACGAUGCCCGUGAGAGUUUUCACCGAUAAGACUCUCUCAUUUUUACUGCUCUCUUGAUUUCUUAUGCCGAGGAAGACAAGUGGUUCCCAAAUGCAUCAUCAUAUCCCUUGUAUUCUUAGCCUUAACAUCCUCAAAGAUUGAUCCGAAGGUCUUUCUUUGGUUGUAACUUGGCUUUUGGAUAGGGUUAGAAAGAAGGGAUGGCAUGGGGCCCAAACGACACUUAAAGUGGGGUAGGACUUACAACUUUUAAAAUCGACUCAAAUAAUGAGGAUUAACUCAUGCCCCAGUUUUUAACUAUGCAAUUCUAAAUCAUUUAUUUGGUUGGCCCGAGCCCUAAGUAGGGCAGCCUACGUAUCUCACCCCCGGUAGAGGAGAAUCAAGUCAUGCGUAGUUCUGCCAACUUAUUUUGCUUGAUUCUGAUUUCUUUUUUCUUUUGACUUCUUUUUUUUUUCUUUGUAAUUUUUCUGACUCUAUUUACUUACUCUUUUCUUCCUUCUUGGACACAUUUUCCUCUUUUUUUUUUAACUUUCUGACACUACUCUCUUGCUCGAUACUUUUCUUUUGAACUUUGUUGGUUUUAUCUUGAUUCCAAAAAAAGGGUAUGAAAGAAAAUAACACUAAGGCUUAAAUGGGGUAAACAAAGGAUGACACAAUGUUUAGAUAGCAGAAUAAAAUGUCUUCGUCAUAUCAAUCCUUGAAAAUGCACGUACAUAUCAUGCAAUAUGAAAGUGAAAGAUGAAGAUCAUUUGACACCUUAACAACACUAUCUUUAAUUGAACAUGUGUGCUACUUCUUCCUCUACACUUCUCAAACAUAUAACUCCACCUUUGUUGUAUAUCCCUUACAUUGAAUGACUCAUACUUUCGUCGAGUUGAUUUUCUUUAUAUUCCUCUUGAUAGGAUCACGCAGACACUGUUUGACCUAAUCGAGACAUGUCUUUUAAUUGACGACCAAGUUAUUCUUGUGAUUCUCAAAAUAAUUGCCUUAAUUUUUAGAAAAGGCUUUAACUUGUCACCAAAUAUCUCAGCACUCUACUAUUUUCUUAGAUGUUUCUCCUAACUUUAGCCCUCUGAUUCAAUGUUCAUGCUUAAACUGCAUUUUAAGAUCUGACUGAAAAUUCUGCAGGCAUGUCAUAUUACUAGAAUCAACAUAAAAUAUGUUGUAUAAAGAAAACAAACAAACAACACAUUUGAAACAUAAAAGGAAAGGGACACUUCAUUUAGUUGAAAUAAAAGAUAAAAGGGUUUGAACAUAAACGACGAAGGGACAAACAAGAUAGAUCUCGAACUACAACCCUGAAAUACUUCAAAAAAUAAAAAAGAAAACAAAACAAACUACCAGACCUCUUCCUAGUAGGGAGAUGGGUGACUUCUCAUUUGCUCAGCCUGACAACUUAGCCACUGGUUUGCAUAUCAACAUGACCAGAGCUUCCCUCACUGUCAAUGUUCUGCACCAUAAUCGAUCCAUCUUGAAUCAUCUUUUCAAUUUCCCUUUUCAAAUCUCUACAAUCUUUAAUACUAUGACCCUGAGCAUCAGAAUUAUACGCACAUCAUACAUUAGGGUCAAAAUUUCUUGAACGUCGAUUAAGAGUGCACCCAAGGAAAGGAGUGUUCAUUCUCCACUAUACCAAUUUCUGAAACAAACUGGCAUACGACUCUCUAAUUGGUGUGAAGCUAUCUCUCGACUUCUGCCUCAUUUCAUCAUUUGGCUUGGAUCAAAAAUCAGGCGUAGAAGGGUUUUGGUAUAUUUGUGAAGUUAGAGGAUGACUCUGAAUUGUUGGUGUUUUCCACUGUGGGUAAGAUGGGGGUUGAUUAUGUGGUUGUGCAUUAUAUACUGAAUAUGGAGGUGGAGGAGCAGAGUAUAAUGGAUUUUAGGAGUGAUUAUGUGGAGCUUGGGCAGGACCUUGGGUUUGAGCCUGAGAGUGGCGACAACGGGGUCUUCUUGACCGUGCCCACUGUCCAACUACAAUAGAGGAUGCAACUUCCUCAUUCUUUGUCUCCACAACACUUCCUGAACCCUUUUGAAUUGCUUGAGUUGUCACUUUCAAUGUUGCAAAACUCACAAUGUGACCAGUCUUAAUUCCCCCUUCUAUCAUCUCCCCAUUUUAAGGACCUCAAUAAAUGACUUGCCUAAUGCAGGUAACAAGUGUUGAUAAUAUAUUUCAUCCUGUGCUUGAAUAAAUACCUUUGCUAUUUUGCUUUCUUUCAUUGGCGGUUUUACUCUCACAGCUUGUUCGCGCCAUCUGAACGCAUACUUUCUGAAACUCUCAGUAUUCUUCUUUUUUAUACUAGUUAGGGAUUUUUCGUCAGAGAUCAACUCCACAUUGUAUUGAAAUUGUUAAAAAAAUUCAUUAGCUAGGUCAUCCCAACUAAUCUACUUGUCAAUGUCUUGGUCAACAAACCAUUUCGAAGCUAGGCCUGAAAGACUCUCCCAGAAAUAAUCCUUGAGUAGUUCUUCCUUCCCUCUAGUGCCCCUCAAUUGGUUAUAAUAGCGACUCAAAUGUGCCACUGGGUCCCCAUGUCCAUCAUAGUUCUCAACCUUUGGCAAUUUAAAGCCAGGUGGAAGGUUGACACCUGGAAACAUGCAUAAGUCCUUAUAUGAGACACUUAUGUAACCCUCAAGUCCUUGCAAGUUCUUCAUAGCCAGUUCCAAACUUCUCAAUUUUUGGUCAUUUUUCCUCUUGUCCUUCUUUCAUAACAAGCUUCUUAGUGUUAGGAGGAAAUUCAAGCGGGUGAGUGUCACUGUAAAGACCAGUCAACUUGAAUGUAGGCUCGAAAGUGUAAUGCUGAUCACCAAUAAUAUUCAAUGCAGGCUUUCUUGUAGAGUAGGGAGGCACAACUUGUGGACGAACAUCAAAAGUAGGAGCUUCAGGUGGUGGUGGCACCGCAAAAGCAUAAACAACAGGUGGAGCCGAGUAUGUGGUAGUCUUGGAUUAGGGAGUGAGGAAAUGAACAUUAGAAGUGGUUGGGUAUUGUUGCCCCCGAGUCGAUCCUGAUGCAUGUUGUGGCAUAUCAACAAAAAUGGGAAAUUGUGCAUAUGACACGAGAGGCAAGAUGGAAAGAUAUUCCAGAUUAUCAUUGGGAACUGGAGGAGGAGGUAACCCAUUAGCCCAAGCUCGAUGCAUUCCUAUCAUUUGCUGCCUCAAUUUUCGAAUCACUUCAUUAGCUCCUACAUUCUCACUUCCCAAACUCCCUAUCUGAUUAGUGACAACAAACUCGGUAUCCUUGUUAGCCAUAACCUUCUCUAUGACUUGGUGCAAUAUGGAGGACCCGCUAAAAUGCCACAACCCAACCACCUCAAACUAACUGAACAAGAGAUAGCAAAUGUGUUAGAGUUCAACACUUUCUCAAAAUCUCUCCUUUUUUUUCUUUUUUAAAAGGUCACCGAACCCAAGAAGGGUGUCUACGUAUCUCAGCCCCCGAGAGAGGAGAAUCAGGUGUGCGUAGUUCGUGAAAUCUUGCCAAAAUGGUCAAAUAAACUCUUUUUCUUUUUCUUGAAACUUUAAAAAUAAAAGGAAAUAACAAAUUGUCAAAAGAAUUGACGAAAAUCUUUUUUGCAUUUUUUGGCUUUAAUAACCUAUACAAAAUGAAACCUAUGAUUACCAAAGAAAAGUCAUUUUGGAUUUUCGAUUUUAAAUUUCAUAUGAAAAUAAAACUUGAAACUAUUAAAGGAAAAUGUUUUUGUAGUUUUCUUUUAGAGAUUUAUAUAAGACACUUACUUUAAAUAAAGAGUGAAGAAAAUCUUUUAGAAUUUUUCAAAUAAGAUCUCCGAACCAAAAAUAGGUUGCCUACAUAUCUCACAUCCCGAAAGAGGAGAAUCAGGGGUGCGUAGUUUGUCCAGAUUGGAUAAUUAAUGAUUAAAUAACCAACUAAACCCGGACUUGAGAGACCAGACCACAAACAGAAGAUGAAAAACAUCAAUAAAAUCUUUUUAAGUUUUCAAUUUGAGUCUUAACCUAAAAAUGACACCAAUAAAUAUGCAAGGAAAAUCUUUUUGAUACUUUCGUUAUAUGAAAUGUAUAAAACUUCUAUCAGUUUUUAAAUUUUUCUUUUAUAAAAGGCUCCUAUUGAAAAAAAAUCUUUUUAAAAUUUUUGAAUUAUGAAUGCAUGCUAAAGGAGACAAAGCAAAAAACUUUCUGAUGUUUUUGAUUUUAGACAAAUGAGUGCAAAAGGAAAAAAAAUCUUUCUGAAUUUUGAAUUUUGAAAAACAAAAGCCAUAAAGAACUCUAAAAACUAGAAACUCUCUUUUUUUUCUUUUCGACUCACUAUUCUUCUUUUUUUUUCUUUACUUCUAACACAUGUUUUCCCCAAAUUAGUCCAUCAAAUGACCAUAUUACCCUCAAAGAUGCAACAAUUAACACGUAGGGAUGCUUUAGAGGCGAGUCUCCUACAAAAGGCCAAGUGGGCCCCGUUAGGUCUUCAAUAUGAUGCAUAUAAACAUGACCUAAAGGCUGACCUACGUUGGGGUUCACUAACAAGGCUGUUCGGAGGAGCGUAUAUUCGAUAGUGGUUGCUUUGCUUUCCAUCUACUCAAUAACACCGAUGGCUCCUCCCAUAAAAUAAGGGUGACUCAACUAGAGGUCGUGUGCAAUACAUGUACUAUGGACUUGUUGCAGAAAGAAUGACUCGGGCUAUGCACAUGAUGCUAGAUAUAAAGUAGUAACACAUAAGAUAAAACUGUAAACAAAGAGCAUGUAGGCACUCAAAAAAAAAAACAAAAAGCAACACAAACAUAUGUCUAUACACCUAUAGUGACAAACUAAGCUGAUACAACUCCAAAUUAAGCUCUAAUUCUGAAAAUAGAUCUCCAGCAGAGUCGCCAGAGCUGUCACACCUCUUUUAAACUCCAAAAAGAUAUUAUUUUAAAAGUUUGAAAGGGUUUUCGUUAUAAAAGUGACAAAAGAUAAAAAUUUGCUUCGAAAAGGACCUUUUAUAUUCAAAACUCAGAGUCGCCACUUGGCAUAAUCCGGUGUGCCAAGUCACCUUUGGAAAAUCCUUUUCAAAAUGAUUUGACUCAAACUGGUUUGCUAACAGAGAUUUUGACUAAGGAAUUUUGUUGACAGACGGGAAGGUGUUAGGCACCCCUCGAUCCUGUGAUUUGAACGCGGUCGCUUGUUGGAGCAUAUCGGCUAAUUUGACACCACGAAUGUAUAAACCACACAAAAGCACGCAAAACAAUCAAUCAAGCAAAAAAAAAUAAAAACAAUCCAAAAUUUGGUGUCCAGUCCAAUUUAUUACAAAUCGAAAUAGAAAAUACUGAAAUAAACCUACACUAACCUAUACUAGUCCUAAAUUAUACUCUACCCGAUGCCUUGGUCCUUCAUCACAGACAUCCUCCGUGUACAAAAUACCUCAGGGCAUUCCCCAACGAAUAAACACAAAUACCUCGGGGCAUUCCCCAGCCAAAUGAAUACAUUUUUAAUGCAAGAAGACCACAAUCAUUCAAUAAUAUUUCAAACAUUCCAUAUUUUAUAAUCCCUAAAUUUGCUUAUCACCCCUAUUGUUUGCCUAUCGAUUUGACGACCUAAUCUUGAUACUAUCAAGUUCGAUGACAUCAAUGAAUCAAAAUUAGUCCGUAUUCAUUUUUUUACUUUUCAAAUCCCAUCUCACUUUUAUUCUUGAUCAAUUAACCAAUUCCAAUACAGAAUCAAAACUACGAUAAUCAUAGACGUUCAAACAUACUAUAAAAAAUUAUAUCAUCAAUCAACAUGAACCACGCAACUCACAACAUCACCUCACCAAAUUAAGUAAAACAAAGAGAAGGAGUUGAAGAAUUGGACCUUAGAAGAAGCUUUCAAAAUUGAUGUAUUAUUCCAAUAAAAACCCGGUACAAUCCGCGUCGAGAACCUUGAUUCAUACCUCAAUCACGAACUUGCCAACUCGAUCAAAACCCCAAAACAGCGGAGAAAGCCACAAAAAAAAUCCAAAUCUCAAUUUUUGAACCAAGCUUGAAAUGAGUCAUGCCAGGUUUGUUAUUUUUGGUGAAGUUCGAACUCGCUGAAGCUCCGAUGGAUCUCGACAGUCAGCGAAACAAUGUUUUCCCAGUGAGAUUUUGCCAGAGAACUAGAAAUGAAAGAGAAUUCGAAGAUUUUGAGGGUGCGGAUGGUCUAAUUCCGGUAAGGGAAUACCGAUUUCGGCGAGAAACUCGCCGAAAAAACCAAACCAGUCGUCCUUUUUCUCAUGUAUUCCCUCUCUUCGAUCGAUUCUCUCCCUUUCUCAAUUUGGAUUGUCUUCUCUCCGAUCUCACGCUCAGAUUUGUCUCUCACUGUGGUUGUGUGUAUGUAUAAUGGUUUUGUGUGAAGGCAGGUGUAUUAAUGGAAUAAACUCAUCAGUGAUGGUGUCUAUAUAUUCCUCUUUCCCGUAUUCUAUAUGUGUAUAUGUUGAAUUGAGAUCUUUUUCUUUAUGGUUACCGUGAUGUUCGUCCAUGGCGUGUAGGUGUGUUCGUGGUAUAUGGGUCUUCUCUAAAAAUGGAAAAAAAUGGUCAGAAUGUUACUGUGUGGACAUCUCUGUAUUGUUAUCUAUUGUAUUCUUAUGUAUUCGCCUCCCAGUUUCUGUGUGAAGUGCGUGUGUAUAUUGUGAAUUACAGUGAGUGAGAAUUGUGUGGUAGUGGAGUAGGGUAGGUGGGCUAGUGAGGUGCGGGUAGGGGUAGGAUGUGAUGUGGUUUAUUUUGAUUGGAUGGGUUGUUAGGAUAAGAUAAAAUUAGCUAGGGAUUGUUAUUUUUGUCAUUUUGUGGAGAUUAUCACACGGGGUAGGGUACGCGGUAGGAUAAGGUAAAAAUGUGUAAAAAUGAUAUAGGGAAGGGACAAAAUUAGGUGUCUACAUCAUGCCCCCUUUGAAUGUAAACACAAAGUAUUUUUGAACAAAGAAGUAGACAACAAGACAGAAUUUUGUCCCGAUCAUUAUUCGAAGGAAAAAUAGAAGAAAGAAGAGCAAUCGAGUAUUGACUUAGGACACCCUACCUACCCAAGUUAUGAGGGAAUCAAGUGACAGGAUUCUCAAAGGAUUGAAAGGAGAUGGACUUUACCGAGUUGAAGAGUCGAGUGAGGUCCCGAUGAGGUUCCAGUCCGCGCAUCUGUUAUUACAUCAUAAAUAAAAGUUACAAGUUAAAACAUAAAUAAAAUUACAAAAUCAUAUCUAUGCAGUUAGUUUCUUUUGGACUCUUAACUUGAGUUUCAUCACUCUAUUCUUCAGGCGGGCUCCUGACUUGCAAUUUCAUCACUUGUUGCUUGGUUUUCAAUCUCUUCACCCUGUUCUUCAGGCGGGUUCCUAACUUGCUAUUUUUUCAAUCUGUUGACUUUAAAUUUCUUCACCUUGUUGCUUGACUUUCAACUUCUUCACCUUGUUACUUGACUUUCAACUUUUUCACCAUGUUGCUUGACUUUUCAUUUAUUCACCCUGCUCUUCAGGCGGGCUCCUGAAAUCACAUCAAUACUAAAAAGAAAAAUUAUCCCAAACAAAGAUUAUUAUAAAGAGAUUUCAUUUGUCAGGAAAGCGAAGUUCCAAACACAGGAUUUAAAUUUUCCCCAGUUUCUCAUCAAAGGACUUUUGGGAAAGUCACAUCAUUAUAGGAAUCAAAGGGAAUGACUAGACUAAAAGGAACAUCUUAUAAGAAUCAAAGGGAAUGACUCAACUAAAAGGUACGUCUUCUAGGAAUCAAGGGAUAUGACUCGACUAAAAGGUACUUCUUAUAGGAAUCAAGGGGCAAGGGGAAUGACUUGACUAAGUCUAAUGACUCGACUAGGGAAUGACUAGACUAAAAGGAACAUCUUAUAAGAAUCAAAGGGAAUGACUCAACUAAAAUGUACGUCUUAUAGGAAUCAAGGGGAAUGACUUGACUAAAAGGUACGUCUUUUAGGAAUCAAAUGACUCGACUAAAGGCACAUCAUCUAGGAAUCAAGGGGAAUGACUAGACUAAAAGGUACGUCUUCUAGGAAUCAAAGGUAAUGACUCGACUAAAAGGUACGUCAUCUAGGAAUCAAGGGGAAUGACUCGACUAAAAGGUACGUUUUCUAGGGGUCAAGGGGAACGAUUCAACUAAAAGGUACGUCUUCUAGGGGUCAAAGGGAAUGACUCGACUAAAAGGUACAUUUUAUAGGAAUCAAGGGGAAUGACUCGACUAAAAGGUACGUCUUCUAGGGGUCAAGAGGAAUGACUCGACUAAAAGGUACGUCUUCUAGGAAUCAAAUUAAAUAACUCGACUAAAAGGUACGCCUUAUAGGAAUCAAGGAGAAUGACUCGACUAAAAGGUACGUCUUCUAGGGGUCAAGGGAAAAGACUCGACUAAAAGAUAUGUCUUAUAGGAAUUAAAGAAGAUGACUCGAAUAAAAGGUACGUCUCAUAGGAGUGAAGGUUCAAUUUAAGAAGUGUAUCACCUAGCAAAUGAAAACUAAAAUCCCUGGACAAGAAAGUGUCUCCGAGGGAUAUAGGAUGAUGAUUUUUUACAAUGACUUGAUUAUUAAACCUGUCCAACAACAUUGUUUCCUGCAUUUGUAGGAGUGAGGCAUUGCAGACCUUGAUAUUUAUGUUCCGAAUUCCUUGAUUUAAAGGUAAUAUGUUUCCUAUUUCAUCAAAAAAAACUUGUGAGUUAAAAAAUAUGGUGGCUGGCUUGUGGCUUUAGCUUUUGCGACAAUCGCUCUUGCCCCAGUCACAUUUAACCUUGCUUCCAACCAUUAGCAUAUGUCAUUGACUUGUUGAAUCAGUGAUCCAAACUCAUAUUAGGAAGAGUGACUCUGCCACAAACACAGUAUCUCUGCUUUGCCAUGUUUCUCAGUUAAACCCUUUGAACUAUGGUAUUUCCGUGGGUUCCCAGACUUGUCUAUUGACAAAACUUUCUAUAUGUCCUUUUUUCAGCUCACAAUUAUAUCUCUUUCAUGCGCUGGCCUUUUUGUCUUGCUUUGUACAAUUGAAGAAGUUGGUAGCCAAUUUUAAAAUCUUUUCUCACUUGUUUCGACAUGGACUAGACUCAAAGACAAGAGCGAAAAUGACCAUGAUUUUUUAUUUGGAUAACUGACUCAAGAAAAAUAAAAUAAAAAUAAAACAAAGAGAAGAAAGAAAAGACAAUGAAUGUACCCAUUAAAAAAAAUAAUGAAAAAUGUAUCUAAAAAUGACAGUUAACUCUAUUGAUUAUGCCAUGCAUUUUGGAUUAAGUUGCCUGAUCUUUCAUCUAAACCUUCUACUAAUUGUUGUUGAGUUAAUGACCUUGAAACUGAAUUGCUUCCUUGGGCCAAUUUGCAUUCAAAAAUCUCAUUUGGCUAGUGGCACCUUGAAGGGUUUUCGCCAACAAGCCUCUCUCAUCUUCUUUUCCUCAACUCACCAUAGUCUUAUGGUGUCUGUAAGAGUUUUCACCAACGAGACUCUCUUAUCUUCGUUUCUCUCAACUCAUAGUCGUCUUACGAUGCCCAUGAGAGUUUUCACCGAUAAGAAUCUCUCAUUUUUAUUGCUCUCUUGAUUUCUUAUGCCGAGGAAGACAAGUGGUUCCCAAAUGCAUCAUCAUAUCCCUUGCAUGCUUAGCCUUAACAUCCUCAAAGAUUGAUCCGAAGGUCUUUCUUUGGUUGUAACUUGGCUUUUGGAUAGGGUUAGAAAGAAGGGAUGGCAUGGGGCCCAAACGGCACUUAAAGUGGGGUAGGACUUACAAUUUUUAGAAACGACUCAAAUAAUGAGGAUUAACUUAUGCCCCAGUUUUUUACUAGGCAAUUCUAAAUUAUUUAUUUGGUUGGACCAAGCCCUAAGUAGGGCAUCCUACGUAUCUCACCCCCGAGAGAAAAGAAUCGGGUCAUGCGUAGUUCUGGCAACUUGUUUUGCUUGAUUCUGAUUUCAUUUUUCUUUUGACUUCUUUUUUUUUCUUUGUAAUUUUUCUGACUCUAAUUUACUUACUUUUUUUCUUCCUUCUUGGACACAUUUUCCUCUUUUUUUGAAAAAACUUUCUGACUCUACUCUCUUGCUCUAUACUUUUCUUUUGAACUUUAUUGGUUUUAUCUUGAUUCCAAAAAAGGGGUAUGAAAGAAAAUAACACUAAGGCUUAAAUGGGGUAGACAAAGGAUGACACAAUGUUUGAAUAACAGAAUAAAAUGUCUUUGUCAUAUCAAUCCUUGAAAAUGCACGUACAUAUCAUGCAAUAUAAAAGUGAAAGAUGAAGAUCAUUUGACACCUUAAAACCACUAUCUUUAAUUGAACAUGUGUGCUACUUCUUCCUCUACACUUGUCAAACAUAUAACUCCACCUUUGUUGUAUAUCCCUUACAUUGAAUGACUCAUACUUUCGUCGAGUUGAUUUUCUUUAUAUUCCUCUUGAUAGGAUCACGCAGACACUGUUUGACCUAAUCGAGACAUGUCUUUUAAUUGAUGACCAAGUUAUUCUUGUGAUUCUCAAAAUAAUUGCCUUAAUUUUUAGAAAAGGCUUCAACUUGUCACCAAAUAUCUCAGUACUCUACUAUUUUCUUAGAUGUUUCUCCUAACUUUAGCCCUCUGAUUCAAUGUUCAUGCUUAAACUGCAUUUUAAGAUCUGACUGAAAAUUCCGCAGGCAUGUCAUAUUACUAGAAUCAACAUAAAAUAUGUUGUAUAAAGAAAACAAACAAACAACACAUUUGAAACAUAAAAGGAAAGGGACACUUCAUUUAGUUGAAAUAAAAGAUAAAAGGGUUUGAACAUAAACGACGAAGGGACAAACAAGAUAGAUCUCGAACUACAACCCUGAAAUACUUCAAAAAAUAGAAAAGAAAACAAAACAAACUACCAGACCUCUUCCUAGUGGGGAGAUGGGUGACUUCUCAUUUGCUCAGCCUGACAACUUAGCCACUGGUUUGCAUAUCAACAUGACCAGAGCUUCCCUCACUGUCAAUGUUCUGCACCAUAAUCGAUCCAUCUUGAAUCAUCUUUUCAAUUUCCCUUUUCAAAUCUCAACAAUCUUUAAUACUAUGACCCUGAGCAUCAGAAUUAUACGCACAUCAUACAUUAGGGUCAAAAUUUCUUGAACAUCGAUUAAGAGUGCACUUAAGGAGAGGAGUGAUCAUGCUCCAUUGUACCAAUUUCUGAAACAAACUAGCAUACGACUCUCUAAUUGGUGUGAAGUUAUCUCUCGACUUCUGCCUCAUUUCAUCAUUUGGCUUGGAUAAAAAAUCAGGCUUAGAAGGGUUUUGGUAUAUUUGUGAAGUUAGAGGAUGACUCUGAAUUGUUGGUGUUUUCCACUGUGGGUAAGAUGGGGGUUGAUUAUGUGGUUGUGCAUUAUAUACUGAAUAUGGAGGUGGAGGAGCAGAGUAUAAUGGAUUUUAGGAGUGAUUAUGUGGAGCUUGGGCAUGACCUUGGGUUUGAGCCUGAGAGUGGCGACAACGGGGUCUUCUUGACCGUGCCCGCUGUCCAACUACAAUAGAGGAUGCAACUUCCUCAUUCUUUGUCUCCACAAUACUUCCUGAACCCUUUUGAAUUGCUUGAGUUGUCACUUUCAAUGUUGCAAAACUCACAAUGUGACCAGUCUUAAUUCCCUCUUCUAUCAUCUCCCCCAUUUUAAGGACCUCAAUAAAUGACUUGCCUAAUGCAGGUAACAAGUUUUGAUAAUAUAUUUCAUCCUGUGCUUGAAUAAACACCUUUGCUAUUUUGCUUUCUUUCAUUGGCGAUUUUACUCUAACAGCUUGUUCGCGCCAUCUGAUCGCAUACUUUCUGAAACUCUCAGUAUUCUUCUUUUUUAUACUAGUUAGGGAUUUUUCGUCAGAGAUCAACUCCACAUUGUAUUGAAAUUGUUGCACAAAUUCAUUAGCUAGGUUAUCCCAACUAAUCUACUUGUCAAUGUCUUGGUCAACAAACCAUUUCGAAGCUAGGUCUAAAAGACUCCCCCAGAAAUAAUCCUUGAGUAGUUCUUCCUUCCCUCUAGCGCCCCUCAAUUGGUUACAAUAGCGACUCAAAUGUGCCACUGGGUCCCCAUGUCCAUCAUAGUUCUCAAACUUUGGCAUUUUAAAGUCAGGUGGAAAGUUGACACCUGGAAACAUGCAUAAGUCCUUAUAUGAGACACUUUUGUAACCCUCAAGUCCUUGCAAGUUCUUCAUAGCCAGUUCCAAACUUCUCAAUUUUUUGGUCAUUUCCUCUUGUCCUUCUUUCAUAACAAGCUUCUCAGUGUUAGGAGGAAAUUCAAGUGGGUGAGUGUCACUGUAAAGACCAGUCAACUUGAAUGUAGGCUCGAAAGUGUACCGCUGAUCACCAGUAAUAUUCAAUCCAGGCUUUCUUGUAGAGUAGGGAGGCACAACUUGUGGACGAACAUCAAAAGUAGGAGCUUCAGGUGGGGGUGGCACCGCAAAAGCAUGAACAACAGGUGAAGCCGAGUAUGUGGUAGUCUUGGAUUGGGGAGUGAGGAAAUAAACAUUAGAAGUGGUUGGGUAUUGUUGCCCCAAAGUCGAUCCUGAUGCAUGUUGUGGCAUAUCAACAAAAAUGGGAAAUUGUGCAUAUGACACGAGAGGCAAGAUGGAAAGAUAUUCCAGAUUAUCAGUGGGAACUGGAGGAGGAGGUAACCCAUUAGCCCAAGCUCGAUGCAUUCCUAUCAUUUGCUGCCUCAAUUUCCGAAUCACUUCAUUAGCUCCUACAUUCUCACUUCUCAAACUCCCUAUCUGAUAGUGACAACAAACUCGGUAUCCUUGUUAGCCAUAACCUUCUCUAUGACUUGGUGCAAUAUGGAGGACCAGCUAAAAUGCCACAACCCAACCACCUCAAACUAACUGAACAAGAGAUAACAAAUGCGUUAGAGUCUAACACUUUCUCAAAAUCUCCCCUUUUUUUCUUUUUGAAAAGGUCACCGAACCCAAGAAGGCUACCUACGUAUAUCACCCCCUGAGAGAGGAGAAUCAGGUGUGCGUAGUUCAUGAAAUCUUGCCAAAAUGGUCAAAUAAACUCUUUUUCUUUUUCUUGAAACUUUAAAAAUAAAAGGAAAUAACAAAUUGUCAAAAGAAUUGACGAAAAUCUUUUUUGCAUUUUUCGGCUUUAAUAACCUAUACAAAAUGAAACCUAUGAUUACCAAAGAAAAGUCAUUUUGGAUUUUCGAUUUUGAAUUUCAUAUGAAAAUAAAACUUGAAACUAUUAAAGGAAAAUGUUUUUGUAGUUUUCUUUUUAGAGAUGUAUAUAAAACACUUACUUUAAAUAAAGAGUGAAGAAAAUCUUUUAGAAUUUUUCAAAUAAGAUCCCCGAACCAAAAAUAGGUUGCCUACAUAUCUCACAUCCCGAAAGAGGAGAAUCAGGGGUGCGUAGUUCAUCCAGAUUGGAAAAUUAAUGAUUAAAUAAUCGACUAAACCCGGACUUGAGAUACCAGACCACAAACAGAAGAUGAAAAACAUCAAUAAAAUCUUUUUAAGUUUUCAAUUUGACACUUAACCUAAAAAUGACACCAAUAAAUAUGCAAGGAAAAUCUUUUUUGAUAUUUUCGUUAUACGAAAUGUAUAAAACUUCUACCAGUUUUUAAAUUUUUCUUUUAUAAAAGGCUCCUAUUGAAAAAUAAUCUUUUUGAAAUUUUUGAAUUAUGAAUGCAUGCUAAAGGAGACAAAGCAAAAAACUUUCUGAUGUUUUUGAUUUUUGAGAAAUGAGUGCAAAAGGAAAAAAAAUCUUUCUGAAUUUUGAAUUUUGAAAAACAAAAGCCAUAAAGAACUCUGAAAACUAGAAACUCUCUUUUUUUUUCUUUUUGACUCACUAUUCUUUUUUUUUUUUUUUUUUUUACUUCUAACACAUGUUUUCCCCAAAUUAGUCCAUCAAAUGACCAUAUUACCCUCAAAGAUGCAACAAUUAACACGUAGGGAUGCUUUAGAGGCAAGUCUCCUACAAAAGGCCAAGUGGGCCCCUCUAGGUCUUCAAUAUGAUGCAUAUAAACAUGACCUACAAGGUGACCUACGUUGGGGUUCACUAACAAGGCUGUUCGGAGGAGCGUAUAGUCGAUAGUGGCUGCUUUGCUUUCCACCUACUCCAUAACAUCGAUGGCUCCUCCCCUAAAAUAAGGGUGACUCAACUAGAGGUCGUGUACAACACGUGUACUAUGGACUUGUUGCAGAAAGAAUGACUCGGGCUAUGCACAUGAUGCUAGAUAUAAAGCAGCAACACAUAAGAUAAAAUUAUAAACAAAGAGCAUGUAGGCACUCAAAAAAAUAACAAAAAGCAACGCAAAUAUAUGUCUAUACACGUAUAGUGACAAACUAAGCCGAUACAACUCCAAAUUAAGCUUGAAUUCUGAAAAUAGAUCUCCAACGGAGUCGCCAGAGCUGUCACACCCCUUUUUAACUCCAAAAAGAUAUUAUUUUAAAAGUUUGAAAGGGUUUUCGUUAUAAGUGACAAAAGAUAAAAAUUUGCUUCGAAAAGGACCUUUUAUAUUCAAAACUCAGAGUCGCCACUUGGCAUAAUCCGGUGUGCCAAGUCACCUUUGAAAAAUCCUUUUCAAAACGAUUUGACUCAAACUGGUUUGCGAACAGAGAUUUCAGCUAAGGAAUUCUGUUGACCGACGGAAAGGUGUUAGGCACCCCUCGAUCCUGUGGUUUGAACACGGUCGCUUGUUGGAGCGUAUCGGCUAAUUUGACACCACGAAUGUAUAAACCACACAAAAGCACGCAAAACAAUCAAUCAAGCAAAAAAAAUAAAAACAAUCCAAAAUUUGGUGUCCAGUCCAAUUUAUUACAAAUUGAAAUAGAAAAUACUGAAUAAACCUACACUAACCUAUACUAGUCCUAAAUUAAACUCUACCCGAUGCCUUGGGCCUUCAUCACAGACAUCCUCCGUGUACAAAAUACCUCAGGGCAUUCCCCAACGAAUAAACACAAAUACCUCGGGGCAUUCCCCAGCCAAAUGAAUACAUUUUCAAUGCAAGAAGACCACAAUCAUUCAAUAAUAUUUCAAACAUUCCACAAUUUAUAAUCCCUAAAUUUGCCUAUCACCCCUAUUGUUUGCCUAUCGAUUUGACGACCUAAUCUUGAUACUAUUAAGUUCGAUGACAUCAAUGAAUUAAAAUUAGUCCGUAUUCAUUUUUUUACUUUUCAAAUCCCGUCUCACUUUCAUUCUUGAUCAAUUAACCAAUUCCAAUACAGAAUCAACCAAUCAAAACUACGAUAAUCAUAGACGUUCAAACAUACUAUCAAAAAUUAUAUCAUCAAUCAACAUGAACCACGCAACUCACAACAUCACCUCACCAAAUUAAGUAAAACAAAGAGGAGGAGUUGAAGAAUUGGACCUUAGAAGAAGCUUUCAAAAUUGAUGUAUUAUUCCAAUAAAAACCCGGUACAAUCCGCGUCGAGAACCUCGAUUCAUACCUCAAUCACGAACUUGCCAACUCGAUCAAAACCCCAAAACAAUGGAGAAAACCACAAAAAAAAAAAAUCCAAAUCUCAAUUUUCGAACCAAGCUUGAAACGAGUCACGCUAGGUUUGCUAUUUUUGGUGAAGUUCGAACUCGCUGAAGCUCCGAUGGAUCUCGGCAGUCAGCGAAACAAUGUUUUCCCAGUGAGAUUUUGCCAGAGAACUAGAAACGAAAGAGAAUUCGAAGAUUUUGAGGGUGCGGAUGGUCUAAUUCCGGUAAGGGAAUACCGAUUUCGGUGAGAAACUCGCCGGAAAAACCAAACCAGCCGUCCUUUUUCUCAUGUAUUCCCUCUCUCCGAUCGAUUCUCUCCCUUUCUCGAUUUGGAUUGUCUUCUCUCCGAUCUCACGCUCAGAUUUGUCUCUCACUGUGGUUGUGUGUAUGUAUAAUGGUUUUGUGUGAAGGCAGGUGUAUUAAUGGAAUAAACUCAUCAGUGAUGGUGUCUAUAUAUUCCUCUUUCCCGUAUUCUAUAUGUGUAUAUGUUGAAUUGGGAUCUUUUUCUUUAUGGUUACCGUGAUGUUCGUCAAUGGCGUAUAGGUGUGUUCGUGCUAUAUGGGUCUUCUCUAAAAAUGGAAAAAUAUGGUCAGAAUGUUACUGUGGGGACAUCUAUAUUGUUAUCUAUUGUAUUCUUAUGUAUUCGCCUCCCUAUUUCUAUGUGAAGUAUAUGUGUAUAUUGUGAAUUCCAG